AAAUUGAAGAGUUUGAUCAUGGCUCAGAUUGAACGCUGGCGGCAGGCCUAACACAUGCAAGUCGAACGGUAACAGAGAGCAGCUUGCUGCUUUGCUGACGAGUGGCGGACGGGUGAGUAAUGUCUGGGAAACUGCCUG
rnacentral:rRNA from 1 species